CAUUGCUCCAAGAUGGCGGCGGCGGCGGCAGCGGGAGCGCAGCUCAGCUGGGCUGGAACUGCCCUCCUGGAACUCCCCCAGCCUACAACCUAGGAGGUGCAGGGACUGAGGCUCAGGCCAAAUCGCAACUCAGACCCAGUGAACCCAAGGCCUGAAGAGAAUUUGGAUUCAUUUACCUUGUUUUGUGGGGACUGGAGAGACAAGUAAACUCUCAGAGUAACUGUCCCCUCUGACUACCAUUUCUAAGGCAAGCCCCCUGUUUCUACUCUUGCGCCCCCUGCUGGUUUCCUGCCCUGUCUGUAAGUUGCAUGGCUUUUGUCCGUCUUUUUUUUGUUUGUUUGUUUGUUUUGAGACAGGGUCUCACCCAGGCUAGAGUGAAGUGGAGCAAUCUCGGCUCACUGCAACCUCCGCCUCCUGAGUUCAAGUGAUUCUCACACCUCAGCCUCCCCAAUAGCUGGGAUUACAGGUGCGCACCACCAUGCCCAGCUAAUCUUUGUAUUUUUUGGUAGAGAGGGGGUUUCACCAUAUUGCCCACGCUGGUCUCU
rnacentral:lncRNA from 10 species